rnacentral:rRNA from 1 species
UACGUAGGGGGCGAGCGUUGUCCGGAUUUAUUGGGCGUAAAGAGCGUGUAGGCGGCCAGGUAGGUCUGCUGUGAAAACUCGAGGCUCAACCUCGAGACGUCGGCGGAAACCAUCUGGCUAGAGUCCGGAAGAGGAGAGUGGAAUUCCUGGUGUAGCGGUGAAAUGCGCAGAUAUCAGGAAGAACACCCGUGGCGAAGGCAGGUCUCUGGGCAUUAACUGACGCUGAGGAGCGAAAGCAUGGGGAGCGAACAGG